UUCGAUUGUUUCUGGUGUCAGUUUUG
rnacentral:sRNA from 1 species